GAGCGGUAACAGGCGUAGCAAUACGUGCUGACGAGCGGCGAACGGGUGAGUAACGCUUCGGAAUCUGCCCAAUGGUGGGGAAUAACCAGCCGAAAGGUUGGCUAAUACCGCAUGAGCCCUACGGGGGAAAGCGGGGGAUCGCAAGACCUCGCGCCGAUGGAUGAGCCGAAGCCGGAUUAGCUAGUUGGUAGGGUAACGGCCUACCAAGGCGACGAUCCGUAGCUGGUCUGAGAGGACGACCAGCCACACUGGGACUGAGACACGGCCCAGACUCCUACGGGAGGCAGCAGUAGGGAAUAUUGGACAAUGGGGGAAACCCUGAUCCAGCGACGCCGCGUGUGUGAAGAAGGCCUGCGGGUUGUAAAGCACUUUUAGUGGGGAUGAAAAGCUCAGAGCUAACACCUCUGGGUCUUGACCUAACCCACAGAAAAAGCACCGGCUAACUCUGUG
rnacentral:rRNA from 1 species